rnacentral:rRNA from 1 species
UACGGAGGGUGCAAGCGUUAUCCGGAUUUACUGGGUUUAAAGGGAGCGCAGGCGGAUUGGUAAGUCAGUGGUGAAAUACCCGUGCUUAACAUGGGAGCUGCCAUUGAUACUAUCAGUCUUGAAUAUCGUUGAGGUUUGCGGAAUGGGUCAUGUAGCGGUGAAAUGCAUAGAUAUGACCCGGAACACCUAUUGCGAAGGCAGCAGGCUAAACGAAGAUUGACGCUGAGGCUCGAAAGCGUGGGGAUCAAACAGG